rnacentral:rRNA from 1 species
CACGUAGGCAGUGAAUCAGGUUGAAAGUCAAAGGCGCCAGCUCAACUGGCGGAAUGCUUUCAAAACCAAUUCACUCGAGUGGGAUAGAGGGGAGUGGAAUUUCGUGUGUAGGGAUAAAAUCCAGAGAUAUACGAAGGAACGCCGAAGUAGCGAAGGCAGCUUUCUGGGUCUCUACUGACGCUAGGGUGCGAAAGCGUUGGGGAGCAAACA